GGGGAAUAUUGCGCAAUGGGCGAAAGCCUGACGCAGCGACGCCGCGUGAGGGAUGAAGGUUUUCGGAUCGUAAACCUCUGUCAGAAGGGAAGAAACUACAGUGCUCUAAUCCUCAUUGCCUCUACGGUACCUUCAAAGGAAGCUCCGGUCACCUACGUGCCAGCAGCCGCGGUAAUACGGAGGGUGCAAGCGUUAAUCGGAAUUACUGGGCGUAAAGCGCACGUAGGCUGUUGUGUAAGUCAGGGGUGAAAUCCCACGGCUCAACCGUGGAACUGCCUUUGAUACUGCUUAGCUUGAAUCCGGGAGAGGGUGGCGGAAUUCCAGGUGUAGGAGUGAAAUCCGUAGAUAUCUGGAGGAACAUCAGUGGCGAAGGCGGCCACCUGGACCGGUAUUGACGCUGAGGUGCGAAAGCGUGGGGAGCAAACA
rnacentral:rRNA from 1 species